rnacentral:rRNA from 1 species
AACGAACGCUGGCGGCAUGCCUAACACAUGCAAGUCGAACGAGAUCUUCGGGUCUAGUGGCGCACGGGUGCGUAACGCGUGGGAAUCUGCCCUUUGGUUCGGAAUAACAGUUGGAAACGACUGCUAAUACCGGAUGACGACGAAAGUCCAAAGAUUUAUCGCGCAGAGGAUGAGCCCGCGUAGGAUUAGCUAGUUGGGGUGGUACAGGCGCACCAAGGCGACGAUCCUUAGCUGGUCUGAGAGGAUGAUCAGCCACACUGGGACUGAGACACGGCCCAGACUCCUACGGGAGGCAGCAGUGGGGAAUAUUGGACAAUGGGCGAAAGCUUGAUCCAGCAAUGCCGCGUGAGUGAUGAAGGCCUUAGGGUUGUAAAGCUCUUUUACCCGGGAUGAUAAUGACAGUACCGGGAGAAUAAGCUCCGGCUAACUCCGUGCCAGCCGCCGCAGUAA